rnacentral:rRNA from 1 species
GACGUAGGGUGCAGGCGUUAUUCGGAAUUACUGGGCGUAAAGCGUGCGCAGGCGGUUUGCUAAGUCAGGUGUGAAAUCCCCGGGCUUAACCUGGGAACUGCGCUUGUAACUGGCAAGCUUGAGUGUGGCAGAGGGGGGUGGAAUUCCACGUGUAGCAGUGAAAUGCGUAGAGAUGUGGAGGAACACCGAUGGCGAAGGCAGCCCCGUGGGCUAACACUGACGCUCAUGCACGAAAGCGUGGGGAGCAAACAGG